rnacentral:tRNA from 1 species
GCUAUUUUGGCAGAUAAGUGCAUUGGAUUUAGAAUCUAUGAAUGUGAAGUUUUUAUUUUACAGAUAGUA